rnacentral:snoRNA from 1 species
GCCAAGUGAUGUAAAACAGAUAGCAUAGCACGCAGUGCNAAGAUGACUCUCAUCUAUCACCCAAGACUGAUGGCU